GAGAGAAGCGAACAAGGUAGUUCAUAGAAAUUGCAAAUUUCUAACAAUAGGGUUCGAUUCCCUCUUCUCUCU
rnacentral:tRNA from 1 species